ACUCCUACGGGAGGCAGCAGUGGGGAAUCUUGGACAAUGGGGGCAACCCUGAUCCAGCCAUGCCGCGUGAGUGAUGAAGGCCUUAGGGUUGUAAAGCUCUUUCGCCUGUGAUGAUAAUGACAGUAGCAGGUAAAGAAACCCCGGCUAACUCCGUGCCAGCAGCCGCGGUAAUACGGAGGGGUUAGCGUUGUUCGGAAUUACUGGGGCGUAAAGCGCGCGUAGGCGGAUUAGUCAGUUAGAGGUGAAAUCCCAGGGCUCAACCCUGGAACUGCCUUUAAUACUGCUAGUCUUGAGUUCGAGAGAGGUGAGUGGAAUUCCGAGUGUAGAGGUGAAAUUCGUAGAUAUUCGGAGGAACACCAGUGGCGAAGGCGGCUCACUGGCUCGAUACUGACGCUGAGGUGCGAAAGUGUGGGGAGCAAACAGGAUUAGAUACCCUGGUAGGAUAGCG
rnacentral:rRNA from 1 species